rnacentral:lncRNA from 1 species
AUGGCGGCUCUUACAAGUUAAUUGGGUUCAUUACAGCAGGAAAGGAAUCCGAAAGAGAGAUUGGGACAAAAAUACCUCCACCAAAAUGUUAUAGUGCAUUUAAAUUGGAAGGAGGAGCUCUUGCCUGUUCCCCAGACACUGAGGAGAAAGGAGACAGACAGUUGAGUCUCAAUCGUAUACCUUUUCUUGGGUCCUUUCUUACCUAUGGUGGACGCUAUUUUAUCACCGGCCUGGUCCUUUCCAUGAAUUGCCUAUCCCUUCAAAGAGGUUCCAUUAGGAUUUGGAUGGCUUGCACCAGACAAAGGUAAACCCCGUGCCGGACCUUGGUAGCCUUUCUUGCC